UAGUUUAUACGCUAUCUGGCUUCGUACGACAAAGAAUGAAGAACACAAAUUUUAUGGUUCAAUGGUUGAUAAAUCAACCAAGAUGGCCUCGAUUGCAAACAAACAAUUAAUUUACUUAUUUUGAACAAAUUAGCUAUAUACUAUAUAACAAUUGCCAAUCCUAUAGGCUAACCACAUGUACGCAAUGCGUACCUAUUUUUAGACAUUGCACUUCAAUCAAUUUGAUAUGGCUGCCUCAAUCGUAAUGUUUCUAUACAGUAGCAUGUUACACUUAACCAUGUUGUGUUGCAUGUAAUCUCCAACCAUGCAGAGGAUGUAUACGAUGCAAUAGACCUUUCCAAGGUUUCUACCGCCAUAUUGCAGGGGGUGCAAAAACAUUGGGGCGAGCGCGCGGCCACCAGUGGCGCCCAUACUAUUUCCUAUUGAGUGAGUGAAAA